UGUCAAGAGAAAUCAAAGUUCUUGCUCAAAGAAAUGAAGUUGCCCAAUGGCCUCUUGCCAUUGGAGGACAUGCUUGAGUGUGGGUAUGUCAAAGAGACUGGCUUUGUGUGGCUCAAACAGAAGAAGAAGACUGAGCACAAAUUUGAGAAAAUUGGCAAACCAGUCACUUAUGCAACUGAGGUCACAGCUGUUGUUGAGCCAAAUAAGAUCAAGAAACUGACAGGUGUCAAGACCAAGGAGCUCAUGAUUUGGG
rnacentral:misc_RNA from 1 species